rnacentral:rRNA from 1 species
UACAGAGGGGGCAAGCGUUGUUCGGAAUUACUGGGCGUAAAGGGCGCGUAGGCGGCCCGCUAAGUCGAACGUGAAAUCCCCGGGCUCAACCCGGGAACUGCGUCCGAUACUGGUGGGCUUGAAUCCGGGAGAGGGAUGCGGAAUUCCAGGUGUAGCGGUGAAAUGCGUAGAUAUCUGGAGGAACACCGGUGGCGAAGGCGGCAUCCUGGACCGGUAUUGACGCUGAGGCGCGAAAGCCAGGGGAGCAAACGGG